rnacentral:rRNA from 1 species
AACGUAGGGGGCGAGCGUUGCCCGGAUUCACUGGGCGUAAAGCGCGUGUAGGCGGUUCGUUAAGUCGGAUGUGAAAUCCCACGGCUCAACUGUGGAAUUGCAUCCGAUACUGGCGAACUUGAGGACGGUAGAGGUCGGUGGAAUUCCCGGUGUACCGGUGAAAUGGGCAGAUAUCGGGAGGAACACCAGUGGCGAAGGCGGCCGACUGGGCCGAUCCUGACGCUGAGACGCGAAAGCCAGGGGAGCGAACCGG